GUGCCAGCAGCCGCGGUAAUACGUAGGUGGCAAGCGUUGUCCGGGAAUUAUUGGGCGUAAAGCGCGCGCAGGCGGCCUUUUAAGUCUGAUGUGAAAGCCCCCGGCUCAACCGGGGAGGGCCAUUGGAAACUGGAAGGCUUGAGUACAGAAGAGAAGAGUGGAAUUCCACGUGUAGCGGUGAAAUGCGUAGAGAUGUGGAGGAACACCAGUGGCGAAGGCGACUCUUUGGUCUGUAACUGACGCUGAGGCGCGAAAGCGUGGGGAGCAAACAGGAUUAGAUACCCUGGUAGUCC
rnacentral:rRNA from 1 species